rnacentral:rRNA from 1 species
UUGAANUGGGCGCAGCCUGAUCCAGCCAUGCCGCGUGGAUGAUGAAGGCCCUAGGGUUGUAAAGUCCUUUCGGCGGGGAAGAUAAUGACGGUACCCGCAGAAGAAGCCCCGGCUAACUUCGUGCCAGCAGCCGCGGUAAUACGAAGGGGGCUAGCGUUGCUCGGAAUCACUGGGCGUAAAGCGCACGUAGGCGGCUUUUUAAGUCAGGGGUGAAAUCCUGGAGCUCAACUCCAGAACUGCCUUUGAUACUGAGAAGCUUGAGUCCGGGAGAGGUGAGUGGAACUGCGAGUGUAGAGGUGAAAUUCGUAGAUAUUCGCAAGAACACCAGUGGCGAAGGCGGCUCACUGGCCCGGUACUGACGCUGAGAUGCGAAAGCGUGGGGAGCAAACAGGAUUAGAUACCCUGGUAGUCCACGCCAUAAACGAUGGAUGCUAGCCGUUGUCGGGUUUACUCGUCAGUGGCGCAGCUAACGCAUUAAGCAUCCCGCCUGGGGAGUACGGUCGCAAGAUUAAAACUCAAAGAAAUUGACGGA